rnacentral:lncRNA from 1 species
UUUGCCUCCCACCAUGAUUCUGAGGCCUCCUCAGCCAUGUGGAACUGAUGACACAUCUAGAAGACCCUCACCUUAUGCUUAUGCUGGCCCCUUGAUCUUGGCCUCCAGAAAUAACCCAGAACAGCAAGAUUUUAGGAAUUAUUGAAAAAGCAUUUUUUGAACUGUGUGUUCAUCUUAAAAUCCAAAUUCUCCCUCCCUUCAAAGGACAGCAUGAGGUGUAAUGAAGAAUCUUGAGGUCAUCCUGGAUUACCAAAGUGGGCCCUAAAUCCAGUGGCAGAAGACACAGACACCGAGAGGAGACCAGGUGAAGACAAAAGAAGAGGCUGGAGUGAUUUCCAUCAGAGAGUAAAAAUACUCAGUUACCUCUUGGUUUAUGAGGCAAUGAAGUAUUCCAGCACAUAAAUAUUGACGCUGAGACCCAUGGGAUGUAGGAGUGCUGAGCACAUUUGCAAGACAUAAAGACCGAAGGGAAGUUUACUAACCCUGGAGAACAUCAGAUCUCCCUUUCUUCCCUCUUUGCAACUGAAGCUUGAAAGAAGCUUAAACAAAUGGACAUGGAUGUGUUUCAAUAAAACUUUAUUUACAAAAACCAGCUGCAGGCUAGAUUUGGCUUAGAGGCUUUAGUUUGCUGACUCUUCUAGAGCAGACGUAUGUGGUAUCUAGAUGAGAUGCAUG